AUUUCCGUUUUUGUUCGAGGAAAUCCGGGUGGAUAUCUUUGGCAAACCAUGCCAAUUACGAAGAUGAAACUAAACAGACCACCUAAAACGGCGUUUUGUUCCAACAAAACAUCCCGGUUUAACAAGUUCUUUCAAAUACAAAAGACAUACUGAGAAGAAAAAUACUGGUGAGUUACCUGCAAAACAUAGUAAACACAGAGUUCCGGCAAUCCAUGAGCGGAUAAUGUCGAAGCCUGGAGAAGGUUUACGUUUUGGACAGAAGGUUUCAAACAAUUUUGACAAAAUGUCUGCACAAAUGGGAAACCAAUACAGUACUAAUGUUGACUUUUAUUCCGACAACGAUGAUGUUGAUGAAAAUAUAUCCAAUCUUUCCCAGGGAUCGGGAGCCUCACAACAAAAUGCCUAUGGUUGGUGUCAAAAGUGUGUAAUAGCUAAACCAAGGGAGUCGGAAAUAAAAGUCAACACAACAAAAGUGAAAAAAAUUGUGGAAAAACAGAAAAUAAGAGAUGACGUAUCUGCUCCUAUAAAUGGGCCUAGCAUUUCAGGAAUCCAAAAUUAUAAUACUUUUUUAAGAUCAAAUUCAGACACAUUUAGACGACCGGAAAAUAAAAAUGUUGCAGUGACCAUAUCUGAUGAAAACAAUGCCCGCUUUCACACAUGUACCAUCUAUGAUCACUGCUUGGCUUUCUUUGUAUUUUUCUUGAUUGUUGCUUUCAUUGUUUUAUUGGGAUUUAUCAUAAGUAUUGCACCAUUUUAAAUGAGAUAUGUAGCCCACAAAUGAAAAGUUAUUGUUUU
rnacentral:misc_RNA from 1 species